GACACACGCCAGCAUGAAUGCACGCACGCGCAAGCGAGCGAGCGCACAGCAGGGAGCGAGAGAAAACCGAGAAUACAUCCCAGGGAAUGACAGGAUGAUGAUUUACUUCAAACUCCCCAAAAAUCUUUACAAGAGGGUCGGCGCAGUGGUGCCCCACGGGUGGUUGGAGAUCGUGGAAGGGUGGAACAGCUGAAGAGCACGUCACUGGCCAGAGCCUGCUCCAAAACUGAGUCUCCCAGGGAUGGCAGCCUUUGACCCCGGUAUAUACUCUCAUCGGACAGGGUGCGGUGUAGAGAACGUCGCCCUGAGGUUGCUGGACUUGAGGAGGAGGACUGCAGAUACAAACGAGAAUAAAGAGGGUGACCAAUGAGUGACCAAAA